rnacentral:misc_RNA from 1 species
AUGCCUACGCACCGCAUCGCACAAAGGAAAUCUGUAUCGGUGCCUGUAAGCUUAUUUUGUCUACGCGCCCGUUGACGUAGGUUCUCGAGUGCGACUGGCUGUGCGCGUGUGCGGUGGGCGCGGUUGCAAUACCGCGCAUCGCAAGGAUCGCACUCACACCCACACACGGCCGCGGAGUAGCUUCAACAGAGGAGAAGUGACAAACGACACGAACAAGAAUGAGCGCCAACGUGAACUUCUCGGCUGGCUCGCGGACGACCAAAACGGCGCCAUCAGGGCCGGCCGUGUCGCCUUCUGCCAAGAACAAGAGUCACAUGAUCUUGCCGUAUGAGGUGCUUUUCAACCUCGUCGGCCGCCGAGUGACGGUGCUCCUCACCAAGGGCUCCCAGGAGCUGGAGGGUACUUUGCAGUCUGUAGACAGUGACAAGGGCGACAUGCUGUUGUCGGAUGUGGUUCGCUACACCUGGGCCCCUUCGCGCUCAUCGGAUGAGGAGGAGACCGCCGCGGCUGCCGCGGGCAACGGACAGUGCACACUUGGCACUGUCUCCGAGGAGGAAGGGCGUUCCAAGUGCUUUGGAGGCGGGCAGCGUCGCGAGCUGAGCCGGUGCAGCCAGGCGAUGCUUAACAGCGCAUUUGUCGCCCUCGUCACGCCGACGCUCUUCAUACCGGAGGAGAGGCAUUCAGCGUUGCGAGCGCAUGAACACACAAUCGCUUGAUAUCCAUCAUUGCCGGGCAGGUGGAGGUCACGGGUGCUGGGCGUAUGCCCGUGUGCAUGCGUGUGUGGUCUGCGUCUGUGUUUUUCUCGCACCUUCCCUUGACCACCUUUCUCUUUGCCUGCUUCACGGCGCGUCCCACGGGGUUGCUUAGCUGGUAGUAUGGGCCGUCUCUCACUCCUUGUCUCCUGUCCUUCGGUGUGUGUGUGUGUGUGUUGGCACUGUCCUCUUCUCCUGUUGCACCUCGUAAAGACGAAG